UGUUAAAUAGUUUAUAUAAAAUAUUAAUUUUGUAAAUUAAAGAAGGGUUCUUUAACUA
rnacentral:tRNA from 1 species